UACGAAGGGAGCUAGCGUUGUUCGGAAUCACUGGGCGUAAAGCGCACGUAGGCGGAUUUGCCAGUCAGGGGUGAAAUCCCGGGGCUCAACCUCGGAACUGCCUUUGAUACAGCAAGUCUUGAGUUCGAGAGAGGUGGGUGGAAUUCCUAGUGUAGAGGUGAAAUUCGUAGAUAUUAGGAAGAACACCGGUGGCGAAGGCGGCCCACUGGCUCGACACUGACGCUGAGGAGCGAAAGCGUGGGGAGCGAACAGG
rnacentral:rRNA from 1 species